rnacentral:lncRNA from 1 species
CAUCUUUUUAAGUGGGAGCACAUGCCACAAUUGGGCUGACCUAACUACUUUUUUUGCCCCACUGUACAGCCUGCAGUUGUCCUCUGGUCUCUAAAUGUUGUUUUAGUUUGUGUAUGGUUCUUGUUUGAUGUGUCCAAAAAGGAGGUUCUGUUUGAUGUGUCCAAUAAGGAGGUUCUGUUUGAUGUGUUCCAGAGGAAAGAUGUCCAAUAAGGCGGUUCGUUUGAUGUGUUCCAGAGUGAAAGAUGUGUCCAAUAAGUAGGGUUCUGUUUGCGUGUUCCAGAGUGAAAGAUGAUCCAAUAAGAGGUUUCUUGUUUGAUGCGUUCCCGAGGAAAGAUGUUGUACAAUAAAGGAGCGUUCUGUUUUGAUGUGUGCCAGAGUGAAAGAUUGAUCCCAUAAGGAGGUUCUGUUUGAUGUCGUCC